UUCUCUUUGUGGGGCUUGAUAGGGGGCUAUUUAAAAACAGCGACAGCAAAUCAGAUGCGGCCAAGCAAAAGGCGUUUACUUCGCCUCCAGUGGCUCGAGGUGCAAAAAUCCUCCACAAGCACUGUUUUCCUUUUAAACUAACACCGCGUGGAAUAAAGUGUAGUUUUCUUGGGUGAACCUCGGGAACAUUUGCGGUGGUGGAAACAGGGGAUGAUUCGAGGAAGGUGGAAAUGCAGAUCAAUUGGGAAAUAGCGCCUCGGAUCUCCGACCGAGAGAACUCUUGUCAGCCCCCACACCCCCGGAGCAAGCAAGCCGCGGAGGAAACAAGAAGCGCCCCGACAAACCUCAGGAGUUGCUCUGCUCACUGGGCACGGUGCGAUGGGGGAGAUGGAGAGAAGAAUAAAGAGCAAGAAAGAAAGAAAGAUAGCUUGACGCUUUACUUUUUUAUAUAUAUAAAGGUAGAGUGUACGAGAAAAGGAGACGGACAGGAUGAAACACUGAGCAUGUUUGGUUUACCACGGGUAAGGAAGAACAA
ensembl:lncRNA